rnacentral:rRNA from 1 species
UACGUAGGGGGGCAAGCGUUUGUCCGGAUUUAUUGGGCGUAAAGAGCGUGUAGGCGGCUUCACAGGUCCGCUGUGAAAACUCGAGGCUCAACCUCGAGCUGUCGGUGGAAACCGUGUGGCUAGAGUCCGGAAGAGGAGAGUGGAAUUCCCCGGUGUAGCGGUGAAAUGCACAGAUAUCGGGGAAGAACACCCGUGGCGAAGGCGGCUCUCUGGGACGGUACUGACGCUGAGACGCGAAAGCGUGGGGAGCGAACAGG